CCCUACGGGGCGCAGCAGUAGGGAAUUUUCGGCAAUGGGGGGAACCCUGACCGAGCAACGCCGCGUGAAUGAAGAAGGAAUUCGUUCUGUAAACUUCUGUUAUGAAGGAAGAAAGGCGGAUGAAGGAACUGACAUCCGAGUGACGGUAUUUUAUGAGAAAGCCACAGCUAACUACGUGCCAGCAGCCGCGGUAAUACGUAGGUGGCAAGCGUUAUCCGGAAUUAUUGGGCGUAAAGAGGGAGCAGGCGGCAGCAAAGGUCUGUGGUGAAAGACUGAAGCUUAACUUGAGUAAGGCAUUGGA
rnacentral:rRNA from 1 species